UUACUGAACGAGUGCUAUUGUAAACAGAGAGUCAGUGUCAACACCAGAAAGUGCUUCCUGAUCUGGCAGUUUAAUUGCUCUCCUGAUUUCCAUGCGUUUCACUCUUUAGAAAUGUGACGUUUUCUCUACAUCUUGUACAAAUACAGGUAUGUUCUGCACCCAUUGCCAAGACCAUAUGUGCUUAAGUGAGGAAGCUGUGAAUAAGGGGUGCUUCCCUCAUGGCCAAUUCAGGGAUCAUAGAUGUAGGUGAGGAGGUACAUGGAUGACAGCCAGGAUCAGGGAGGGCAUUUUUAACCAGGCUGCCUCCCCUGAAUCUGCUCUAAAGAUGGGACUAUUUUCUUCGUAUUAUUUUAUAGGAUCUUUUAUGGCUAACUCAUCUUAUAGAUUAAGCC
rnacentral:lncRNA from 1 species